CGGGGUGAGUAAUGCUUGGGAAUCUGGCUUAUGGAGGGGGAUAACUACGGGAAACUGUAGCUAAUACCGCGUAGUGUCGGGAGACGAAAGUGCGGGACCGCAAGGCCGCAUGCCAUGAGAUGAGCCCAAGUGGGAUUAGGUAGUUGGUGGGGUAAAGGCCUACCAAGCCUGCGAUCUCUAGCUGGUCUGAGAGGAUGACCAGCCACACUGGAACUGAGACACGGUCCAG
rnacentral:rRNA from 1 species